rnacentral:rRNA from 1 species
UGGGGAAUAUUGGACAAUGUGCGCAAGCCUGAUCCAGCCAUGCCGCGUGAGUGAUGAAGGCCCUAGGGUUGUAAAGCUCUUUCCCCGGUGAAGAUAAUGACGGUAACCGGAGAAGAAGCCCCGGCUAACUUCGUGCCAGCAGCCGCGGUAAUACGAAGGGGGCUAGCGUUGUUCGGAUGUACUGGGCGUAAAGCGCACGUAGGCGGACUUUUAAGUCAGGGAUGAAAUCCCGGGGCUCAACCCCGGAACUGCCUUUGAUACUGGAAGUCUGGAGUAUGGUAGAGGUGAGUGGAGUUCCGAGUGUAGAGGUGAAAUUCGUAGAUAUACGGAGGAACACCAGUGGCGAAGGCGGCUCACUGGACCAUUACUGACGCUGAGGUGCGAAAGCGUGGGGAGCAGACAGG